AUUCUGAAUAGCAGUUUUGUGUGCGGAAAAUGUGGAAAAUUCACGCUCAGCUGCGUGAAUUUUCCGCAUUUUCCUCACGGGAGAAAAUAAUAGUGUGUGGUGCAGUGCUGAAUCAUUCAACAGUUGCGGCAUUUCAACAGUGACAAGGACGUCAAACCGGUGCGCGGUGCAUAAGCAAUCAACCCAGAGCUUGUUGAAUGCCGAUCUAAGCAAGAUCUGCAUGAGGGCCAACGGACUUAUUGUAAAAAUACUAAUUUUCCCUUCCUCUAAUUUGACCGCAAUCUUGACUGCAAUAGUUUCAUCAUCAAACUUUUUUUCGUGAAAUCAAAUGUGAAACAUAUUACUGACUAGAACCGUAGAACCAUCUUUUGCAUUUGGUAGCUUUGCAAGGUUUUUAAAUAUAGGUUCGCUCUUUAAGCUUGGAACACAUGCAUGCCUUUGAAUCAAAUUCUAUAUUGUAUGCUGUAUUCCACAAGCUGUAGUUCAUCAAAUGUCCAUAAAUGCUACAAUAAUGGUUAAGCACGCUGUAAUGUUACUUUUGUACCUCAUCACCCACUAAAUGCAACUACAUUAGUGGUCUAAUAACACUUAGCGCGCUUCGGCACGGUUCCAUCAUGCCGCUUAUAGUGUUGCCACAUAUAAUGCUUAGUUUGCUAAACCCAGUUAUCUGGCUGGUGGGACAUGGGAGCCCAAGCUUCAUCCAUUAAUGCAAUUAGACGUUUAUUGAACAAUAAAAUGAGCGAUUCGAAUAUUUGAAGAACAUUCAAACAACAUAGAAGCUUGUGUAAAGUCAACAUUUAACGAACUUAAUCUAUGCAAUAUCUUGCAUUUUAACGCUUCGAAUGAUGUUCAAGUAUAGGUUCAAGUUGUAGUAUAUCGAGUUUUUUUUAGUGCUACAAUAAUGGUUAAGCACGCUGUAAUGUUACUUUUGUACCUCAUCACCCACUAAAUGCAUCUACAUUAGUGGUCUAAUAACACUUAGCGCGCUUAGGCACGGUUCCAUCAUGCCGCUUAUAGUGUUGCCACAUAUAAUGCUUAGUCUGCUAAACCCAGUUAUCUGGCUGGUGGGGCAUGGGAGCCCAAGCUUCAAUCAUUAAUGCAAUUAAACAUUACUCGAUUUACGACAUGAUUGAUCCAAAUAUUAGAUAAUUGUUCGAUCUGUGUUCUUAAAAUGUAGCCCUGAAUGUAGCAUAAAAUAUACAAGCUUCUAGUCCAAAUGCAUAAAGAUAGUUCAGAUUCACUGUUUUUCAGAAUUUUCUCAAGCAAUCAGUAACAAAAGUAAAAAGCAGAAAUAGAUCAAAUCAUGCCAAAAUGUUCAUAAUCGCUUGUAAAAUAAAACUAUUCCAAAACAUUAGAAUUUUCUGUUUCACAAUAGAAAACAAUUCCCAAACCUUUGGAUAGGGAAAAACAGUAUGUUCUGUAAUCACAAUUGAAAGCAAUUCCAGAACAAUAGAAUCUAAUGUGUAAUUAAGUCAGUGCUCAAAGAACAAUAUGAAAACAUAAGAAUCUUGUGUAUCACAAUAGAAAACAAUUCCCAAACCAUUGAAUCAAAUGUGGAAUCAGUAAUAAAAUUACUACUCAAAACAAUA